GAUGAGAGGUCGCCUUGGGAA
rnacentral:siRNA from 1 species